ACCUGGGCUUCGGCCCUGGGGACAGCGGCGAACGGGUGAGUAACACGUGGGUAAUCUGCCCUUGACAUCGGGAUAGCCCGGGGAAACCCGGAUUAAUACCGAAUAGCCUCCGGAGCCUUCGGGCGCCGGAGAAAAGGUAGCUUCGGCCUCUGGUCAAGGAUGAGCCCGCGGCGGAUUAGCUUGUUGGCGGGGUAACGGCCCACCAAGGCGACGAUCCGUAGCUGGUCUGAGAGGACGAUCAGCCACACUGGGACUGAGACACGGCCCAGACUCCUACGGGAGGCAGCAGUGGGGAAUCUUGCGCUAAUGCGGGAAACCGUGACGCAGCAACGCCGCGUGAGGGAUGACGGCCUUCGGG
rnacentral:rRNA from 1 species